rnacentral:rRNA from 1 species
ACUCCUACGGGAGGCAGCAGUGGGGAAUAUUGCACAAUGGGCGCAAGCCUGAUGCAGCCAUGCCGCGUGUAUGAAGAAGGCCUUCGGGUUGUAAAGUACUUUCAGCAGUGAGGAAGGUGGAUAUGUUAAUAGCAUAUUCUAUUUGUACGUUAGCUGCAGAAGAAGCACCGGCUAACUCCGUGCCAGCAGCCGCGGUAAUACGGAGGGUGCGAGCGUUAAUCGGAAUUACGUGGCGUAAAGCGCAUGCAGGUUGGUUUGUUAAGUCAGAUGUGAAAGCCCGGGGCUCAACCUCGGAAUUGCAUUUGAAACUGGCAAACUAGAGUACUGUAGAGGGGGUAGAAUUUCAGGUGUAGCGUGAAAUGCGUAGAGAUCGUGAAGGAUACCGGUGGCGAACGGCGGCCCCGUGGACAGAUACUGACACUCAGAUGCGAAAGCGUGGGAGC